ACACGUUUUAUCACAAAACAAACCAAACUCUGUGAACUGAGGUGAGACGAAAGUCUUGCCGAACUUUAUUUAACCGAUAUAGCCUCGUUAAGGAGCUCUUGUAGCGCCUUUUCAGGUAUAACUGUUAUUUUCUCUUAAUGUGCAUCUGCUGACACCGAUACGUGUUGCAGAGUCACUUAAAACAAACUCGAA
rnacentral:misc_RNA from 1 species